GUGGCGUGAUGAACUUGUUUAUCCAUUCGCUGAGCGCCGCUGGCUCUGUCCCUCGGCGGCCUUGUGGUCCGUUCUGGGCCUCUGGGUUACAGCCGAUCCGGUUCUGUCCGGCCGCUCCAGCGUUCUGUUGGGUCGACCGCGGCGGGCCGGACGCGCUGGUGCCGGGGGAGCGGACCGCUUCAGUCAAAGACGAAUAGACGUGUCUGAUCAC